rnacentral:rRNA from 1 species
UACAGAGGAUGCAAGCGUUAUCCGGAAUGAUUGGGCGUAAAGCGUCUGUAGGUGGCUUUUAAGUCCGCCGUCAAAUCCCAGGGCUCAACUCUGGACAGGCGGUGGAAACUACCAAGCUGGAGUACGGUAGGGCAGAGGAAUUUCCGGUGGAGCGGUGAAAUGCGUAGAGAUCGGAAAGAACACCAACGGCGAAAGCACUCUGCUGGCCGACACUGACACUGAGAGACGAAAGCUAGGGAGCGAAUGG